GACGAACGCUGGCGGCGUGCUUAACACAUGCAAGUCGAACGGAAAGGCCCUGCUUUUGUGGGGUGCUCGAGUGGCGAACGGGUGAGUAACACGUGAGUAACCUGCCCUUGACUUUGGGAUAACUGCAGGAAACUGGGGCUAAUACCGGAUAGGAGCUCCUGCUGCAUGGUGGGGGUUGGAAAGUUUCGGCGGUUGGGGAUGGACUCGCGGCUUAUCAGCUUGUUGGUGGGGUAGUGGCUUACCAAGGCUUUGACGGGUAGCCGGCCUGAGAGGGUGACCGGCCACAUUGGGACUGCGCUACGGCCCAGACUCCUACGGGAGGCAGCAGUGGGGAAUCUUGCCCAAUGGGCGGAAGCCUGAUGCAGCAACGCCGCGUGCGGGAUGACGGCCUUCGGGUUGUAAACCGCUUUCGCCUGUGACGAAGCGUGAGUGACGGUAAUGGGUAAAGAAGCACCGGCUAACUACGUG
rnacentral:rRNA from 1 species